rnacentral:rRNA from 1 species
CAGCCGCCGCGGGAAUACGAAGGGUGCAAGCGUUACUCGGAAUUACUGGGCGUAAAGCGUGCGUAGGUGGUGGUUUAAGUCCGUUGUGAAAGCCCUGGGCUCAACCUGGGAAUUGCAGUGGAUACUGGGUCACUAGAGUGUGGUAGAGGAUAGUGGAAUUUCCGGUGUAGCAGUGAAAUGCGUAGAGAUCGGAAGGAACAUCAGUGGCGAAGGCGGCCAUCUGGGACAACACUGACGCUGAGGCACGAAAGCGUGGGGAGCAAACAGGAUUAGAUACCCCAGUAGUCCCUGUCUCUUAUAA